rnacentral:tRNA from 1 species
AUUAUUUUGGCAGAUAAGUGCAUUAAAUUUAGAAUUUAAAAAUAUAUAAUUUUUAUAUAAAUAAUA